UACGUAGGGGCCGAGCGUUGUCCGGAGUUACUGGGCGUAAAGCGCGCGCAGGCGGCUCGUCAAGCCUGACGUGAAAGCCCCCGGCUCAACCGGGGAGGGUCAUUGGAAACUGGGGAACUUGAGUACUGAAGAGGAAAGCGGAAUUCCACGUGUAGCGGUGAAAUGCGUAGAGAUGUGGAGGAACACCAGUGGCGAAGGCGGCUCACUGGACCGGUACUGACGCUGAGGCGCGAAAGCGUGGGGAGCAAACAGG
rnacentral:rRNA from 1 species